rnacentral:rRNA from 1 species
UACGGAGGGGGCUAGCGUUGUUCGGAAUUCUGGGCGUAAAGCGCGCGUAGGCGGCUUUGUAAGUUAGAGGUGAAAGCCCGGAGCUCAACUCCGGAACUGCCUUUAAGACUGCAUCGCUAGAAUUGUGGAGAGGUAAGUGGAAUUCCGAGUGUAGAGGUGAAAUUCGUAGAUAUUCGGAAGAACACCAGUGGCGAAGGCGACUUACUGGACACAUAUUGACGCUGAGGUGGCGAAAAGCGUGGGGAGCAAACAGGG